GAUGAAGAACGUAGUGAAAUGCGAUACGUAGCGUGAAUUGCAGAAUUCAGUGAAUCAUCGAAUCUUUGAACGCACAUUGCACCUCUCGGUAUUCCGGGAGGUAUGCCUGUUCGAGCGUCAUUUGUACCCUCAAGCUCUGCUUGGUGUUGGGUGUUUGUUCCGCCUCUGUGUGUGAACUCGCCUCAAAACAAUUGGCAGCCGGCGUACUUGUUUCGGAGCGCAGCACAUUUUGCGAUCCAGAUCAACGUACAGCGGCAUCCAAGAAGCCUUAUUUAACGCUCUUGACCUCGGAUCAGGUAGGGAUACCCGCUGAACUUAAGCAUAUCAAUAAGCGGAGGA
rnacentral:misc_RNA from 1 species